GUGCAGUGCGGCAGCUAUACAUGCAAGUCGAGCGGACAGAUGGGAGCUUGCUCCCUGAUGUUAGCGGCGGACGGGUGAGUAACACGUGGGUAACCUGCCUGUAAGACUGGGAUAACUCCGGGAAACCGGGGCUAAUACCGGAUGGUUGUUUGAACCGCAUGGUUCAAACAUAAAAGAUGGCUUCGGCUACCACUUACAGAUGGACCCGCGGCGCAUUAGCUAGUUGGUGGGGUAACGGCUCACCAAGGCGACGAUGCGUAGCCGACCUGAGAGGGUGAUCGGCCACCUGGGACUGAGACACGGCCCAGACUCCUACGGAGCAGCAGUAGGGAUCUCGCAAUGACGAAAGUCGACAGCACGCCGCGUGAGUGAUGAAGGUUUUCGAUCGUAAAGCUCUGUUGUUAGGGAAGAACAAGUACGUUCGAAUAGGGCGGUACCUGACGGUACCUAACCAAGAAAGCCACGGCUAACUACUUGCCACCAGCCGCGGUAAUACGUAGGUGGCAAGCGUUGUCCGGAAUUAUUGGGCGUAAAGGGUUCGCAGGCGGUUUCUUAAUUCUGAUGUGAAAGCCCCCGGCUCACCCGGGAAGGGUCAUUGAAAACUGGGGAACUUGAUUGCAAAAGAGGAGAGUGGAAUUCCACGUGUAGCGGUGAAAUGCGUAGAGAUGUGGAGGAACACCAGUGGCGAAGGCGACUCUCUGGUCUGUAACUGACGCUGAGGAGCGAAAGCGUGGGGAGCGAACAGGAUUAGAUACCCUGUAGUCCACGCCGUAAACGAUGAGUGCUAAGUGUUAGGGGGUUUCCGCCCCUUAGUGCUGCAGCUAACGCAUUAAGCACUCCGCCUGGGGAGUACGGUCGCAAGACUGAAACUCAAAGGAAUUGACGGGGGCCCGCACAAGCGGUGGAGCAUGUGGUUUAAUUCGAAGCAACGCGAAGAACCCUACCAGGUCUUGACAUCCUCUGACAAUCCUAGAGAUAGGACGUCCCCUUCGGGGGCAGAGUGACAGGUGGUGCAUGGUUGUCGUCAGCUCGUGUCGUGAGAUGUUGGGUUAAGUCCCGCAACGAGCGCAACCCUUGAUCUUAGUUGCCAGCAUUCAGUUGGGCACUCUAAGGUGAC
rnacentral:rRNA from 1 species